UAAAAAUACCAUUUUAAAACAGGUGUAUUUUUUUUUUCUUUUAGAAUGUAAGCCCCUCAAGAGCAGGGACAAUGUUUUCUGUAUGUUCUAUUGUGCCUAGUACACUGUAAAUGCUCAAUAAAUACUAAUGAUGGGA